rnacentral:rRNA from 1 species
UACCAGACUCCUACGGGAGGCAGCAGUGGGGAAUAUUGCACAAUGGGGGAAACCCUGAUGCAGCGACGCCGCGUGAGCGAUGAAGUAUUUCGGUAUGUAAAGCUCUAUCAGCAGGGAAGAAGAUGACGGUACCUGACUAAGAAGCCCCGGCUAACUACGUGCCAGCAGCCGCGGUAAUACGUAGGGGGCAAGCGUUAUCCGGAUUUACUGGGUGUAAAGGGAGCGUAGACGGCGAUGCAAGCCAGAUGUGAAAGCCCGGGGCUCAACCCCGGGACUGCAUUUGGAACUGUGUGGCUGGAGUGUCGGAGAGGCAGGCGGAAUUCCUAGUGUAGCGGUGAAAUGCGUAGAUAUUAGGAGGAACACCAGUGGCGAAGGCGGCCUGCUGGACGAUGACUGGCGUUGAGGCUCGAAAGCGUGGGGAGCAAACAGGAUUAGAUACCCGUGUAGA